CAGCAGCCGCGGUAAUACGUAGGUGGCAAGCGUUAUCCGGAAUUAUUGGGCGUAAAGCGCGCGUAGGCGGUUUUUUAAGUCUGAUGUGAAAGCCCACGGCUCAACCGUGGAGGGUCAUUGGAAACUGGAAAACUUGAGUGCAGAAGAGGAAAGUGGAAUUCCAUGUGUAGCGGUGAAAUGCGCAGAGAUAUGGAGGAACACCAGUGGCGAAGGCGACUUUCUGGUCUGUAACUGACGCUGAUGUGCGAAAGCGUGGGGAUCAAACAGGAUUAGAUACCCGUGUAGUCCCUGUCUCUUAUAU
rnacentral:rRNA from 1 species